GAUGAACGCUGGCGGCGUGCCUAAUACAUGCAAGUCGAGCGAACGGACGAGAAGCUUGCUUCUCUGAUGUUAGCGGCGGACGGGUGAGUAACACGUGGAUAACCUACCUAUAAGACUGGGAUAACUUCGGGAAACCGGAGCUAAUACCGGAUGAUAUUUUGAACCGCAUGGUUCAAAAGUGAAAGACGGUCUUGCUGUCACUUAUAGAUGGAUCCGCGCUGCAUUAGCUAGUUGGUAAGGUAACGGCUUACCAAGGCAACGAUGCAUAGCCGACCUGAGAGGCUGAUCGGCCACACUGGAACUGAGCCACGGUCCAGACUCCUAAGGGAGGCAGCAGUAGAGAAUCUUCCGCAAUGGGCGAAAGCCUGACGGAGCAACGCCGCGUGAGUGAUGAAGGUCUUCGGAUCGUAAAACUCUGUUAUUAGGGAAGAACAUAUGUGUAAGUAACUGUGCACAUCUUGACGGUACCUAAUCAGAAAGCCACGGCUAACUACGUG
rnacentral:rRNA from 1 species